CUCUCGCAGGAGCCGAGGGACCCGCGCGGCUGCGGCCCAGGAGCGGCGGCCGCGGAGCCCGGAGACCCGCAGCCGCGGCGGCGGCGGCGGCGGCGGCAGCAGCUAGAGCAGCGCCUCCCGCCGCCGCCCGGGAGGAGCUCGCCGCGCCCGCUCGCCGCCUCGUCUCCCAGCGGCGGCGGGAGGCGCGUCUCCCCGGCCCAGUCCGCGCCCGGCCCCGCGGGGCCGCUCCGGCCCGCUCCGAGGUAAGGGGCCGCGCCUAGGGGCGCGGGGGACCCAGGGUGGGUAGUACGUGCGCGCGGGGUCGCAGGACUCGGUCACCUGCUCGCCAGCGUGGAGGACGCGCGGGGGCGGAGGGGCGCUCAGGCGCGAGGCUGCGCGGCACCGGGGACCCCGGACGCGGGGGCGCGGAGAGGUGGGUUCCCCUCCACAGUCAGGCCGCUGGGGGCUUCGCGUCCUGCAGGAGGUAGCAAUCGCUGGGCCGGUGGGCUCCGGGCGCGUCUCGACGCAGAAGACAGAGGACUGGGCAUCCGAGCCUCGGAAUUUGGGGGUCCUCGGGGUGUCCGACAGGGUGGAGAAGGAUCGUGCCCCAGGGCAACAGCUUUGGGGAUUGCCCGUGGUUGUCUUCGAGACCCAUCGCGCUACCCUCCGAAACGUCGGGCGUCCUGGACCCCCGGAGAGUGCGGCGUGCGCGCCCUGGGCCCGCGGUCUCUCGGAGUCCCUGGGUCGGAAUUGGUUCCGGGCCGGAUUGGGUGCGGAAUCGGUGCCCCCAACCCCCGUGUGCGCAGACAGCGUGCAGCCUGGCUCCUCACGUCGCUGCCGCCCCCCCACCCCAACUCCGGAGCUCCCCAGGUUGGAUGUAUGCGUAUGGUUUUGUUGGGAGAUGUGCCCCUUUCCCAGCCGAGGAGGGACGCACCUUUGACCUUUCUGAAGAGCUGGGCAGGUCGGUAACCAGGGAAGGGACAGGCACCACCCGGCUAAAUUCAGAACCAGUCCCGCUCCUCUGCUUGCCACUCCUUAAUUGCUCAAGGUAAGAAAGUUUGUUUCAGCCCUGUGAUUCAUAAAUAAUUAGUAACUAGUUUUGUUGAUUAAGCAAGAUGGAAACCUUGAAUAUACGCACGCACUUCCACAAAGUCUAAACACUCCCGAGCUUGUGUCCGGGAGGCUUUAGUACGGAAAGUUAGAAGCCCUGGAGUUCAACAGGUGUUCAGGAGGGUCCCGGAGAGGAGUUUCGUCUUUACGCGUUGCUUUGGCAUCCACCCCAACUUCAUUAAAGUGGUUAGCCUGUUUUCCUACAGGUAAAACAUUGAUCACUUAUUAAAUUAACUUAAUCAGCAGAGACGAGCUAAACCGUCUUGAUCAUUUAGAACCCAAACCUUAUUUUCCUUAAUAGAAAGGUUUUUCCUGUUUGAACUUCCCAGGUAAUUAGUUCUAAAGUAGUUCCCAGCAAGACAUCUCUGCCAGCAUCUCUCUCUCACUGUAGCUUGGUCCCCAUCAGUGAAUUGACCAACUAAUUAUGGCUUGCAUUAAACACAGAGCUGCCCUCCUUGGGAGGCACUGUUCACAUUCAAGCGCACACACUAGCUCCAUCUUCCUGCCACUAAGAUGUCCUUAAAGGAAAAAGUUAGCCAAAAAUAACCCCCAAAUAAAUAGUGUAAUGUUUAAAAGAGUUAUCCUGACCUGCGCCACUAUUUUAUAAAAGCAAAAAUUCAGUGUUUCAUUACAGCGCUAAACCAGGACCAGUAGAAGUAUUGGUAUCUCUCAGCAGUCUACUUAAAUAUUUAGUUAAAAAUAAAGUGUGCAAAGUAAAGACGUUCAGUAAUUAUCUUCCAUCUCACAGAGAGAUGUGGAGUAUGGCUUAGAAGAAUUGUAAAUGCGCUGCUUUUAGCCGUUUUCUUCUUGGAAAUCGAUGCCUCUAUUUAUUUGCUGAUCUGUCCCACUGUGCGUAAAUGUAGAAUCGGUUUUAUUCUCACUGCUUCCCAGAGGGGCUCCUGUGGAGGUGAAAGAAGGAAAUACGUUCUAGAGGAAAUAUGUUAUUAAUAAAACGUUACCCCCAAAGAGUUAACCACGCCAAAAAUAACCAAGUGAGGCUUUACUAAUUAGUGGUCUGAUGAGAGAGUGUUCAGAUGAUGACUAAAGAAUUGAUCUUUAUGUAGAAAACAACAAUUGUUUUUAAGCUCAUUUGGUUCUCUUAAAACAGUUUGGGCCCUUUAAAAAAAUUUCUGGCUGUUUAAUAAUGCAAAUGAUGAAAAUCGUUAAAGAUAACACAUAUAACCUGAUGUGUGCCAUGUUUAAGUUGAAUUCACCCUAUUUUUUUGAACAAUCUUUCUUAACUCUUGGUAAUCUUUAUAGCUCACUCAACACUGCAACUUAUUAGAUUAAAAACUGAAAGUUAAUUUUUUCAGAAUAAAAUAAUAAGGCAUGCGUAUACUUUUUAAUUUAACCAUCUUUAUAUGUUCAUUUUUUCAGAGUCUUGCUUUUGAAUCUUAAGAACCCAAAGGGCUAAGUCUUCUUUCUUAAUUUUUAAAACAAGCAUGUGUUUUGUUCUUUACAUGAAUCGUCGGUUCUCCCAGUGUGAUCACGACACUGUCCCAUGCUGAUUCCAUGCACGGUGCAACUCUUUCCCAAGAGAGAUUCUAACUCAGGACACCUGGGAGAGGACCCGAGCUGCAUUUCUCACAGCUACCAGAUGCUGCACGCUGGCAAGGUUUUGGGAUGCACUGAAUCCAGUUCAGCAUGUUUACUGAGCAUAUACCACAUAGAGAGCCCAGAUGAUAAAAAAAUGAGAAGAUGGGUUGUACCUGCCCUUGAGGAGCUAACAAGCUUGUAAACUGAGGCCCAGAAAGGUUCAGCCAUCUGCCUGAGGUCACACAGCCACAGUUUGGACCUGAGCCAUCAAUCAUCCACCAAAAGCCUGCAUUGACCCUAGAAGAUUCCAUUGCAUGUUGUCAAGGCGCUUAGUUUCUCUCUUGUGUCUCCCCAAAACAUAAACCUGGAAUGGAAGAGAGCCACUUACUCUAUAGAUGCUUUUAGCUCAGAACGCUUCAAGCUUUUGGAGUAUGAGAAAUAAUAACAAUCAUUCCAUUCUUUCCUGGAGUUUGAUCUCAGCUGUUGGUGAUAUUGUUGGGACUGAUUUGCUAUCUAUAAAGCCAAAUUUGAGAAAAGACAGGUUAAAAAUAAACAGGGAGGAUGAUGGUAGUAAAAAUAA
rnacentral:lncRNA from 1 species